UACGUAGGGGGCAAGCGUUGUCCGGAUUUAUUGGGCGUAAAGAGCGUGUAGGCGGUCUGGUAGGUCCGUUGUGAAAACUCGAGGCUCAACCUCGAGACGCCGAUGGAAACCAUCAGACUAGAGUCCGGAAGAGGAGAGUGGAAUUCCUGGUGUAGCGGUGAAAUGCGCAGAUAUCAGGAGGAACACCGAUGGCGAAGGCAGAUCUCUGGGCCGUAACUGACGCUGAGGAGCGAAAGCAUGGGGAGCGAACAGG
rnacentral:rRNA from 1 species